CCCUACAUACCACCUGCAAGUCCUCCUCCUAAAACAUCUCGUCUUACGGUUCUGAAGCUGAAGAUCUCGACUACGCUGUCACUGAAAGACAACAAGGAUGAAAUCGAGAAAGCGAUUAAAGAUGAGCUGAUCAGACGAGGGCUGCCUGCAGAUAUAAAGGUCCGCCUGCUGAGCGACGGUUCAGUGCAGGUUAAGGAAAAGGCUGCCCCCUAGUGGCUAAACAUGAGGAUGAAUCUGAUCCAUGCAGUAAAUAUUACUGGGUUUAUCUGUUUUUACUUCUUGUGCUUUUGAAUAAAUCUGGGGACUUAUG